CAGGUGCCCUGACUCUGGCGCUCCCGCCUGGUGAUGACCGACAGAGCACUGACAGGCACGUCCAGGGCAGGGCUGCUCCCCCGCGUUCCGCCCUCCCCAAACAUCUCUGACGGACGGUUGGCUGCAGCCCAGGAAGCACUUUCGCGCCGUGGCCUGCAUCCCAGCCCCGCCCCGCCGAGCUGGAAGGAGGGCUGAGAAGAAUUCCCCGGCUCCCUUGCUAGCCUAAAAACAAGCCCACUUGUUCCAGUGCAAUAAAACGAGUUGUCAAACAAC